GCGCCUAUAGCUCAGAUGGAUAGAGCACGGCUCUCCUAAGGCUGGGGGGGUGGUUCGAGUCCACCUAGGCGCA
rnacentral:tRNA from 1 species